GGCAGGCAAGCGCUAGGGGUAUCCCCGAGUUACCUUCGGGCAGCAGCUGUCGGUGAGACAGUGGUACAGGGGCCUAGGGGUCUGCCGCUCU
rnacentral:ncRNA from 1 species